rnacentral:rRNA from 1 species
AACGAACGCUGGCGGCAUGCCUAACACAUGCAAGUCGAACGAGACCUUCGGGUCUAGUGGCGCACGGGUGCGUAACGCGUGGGAACCUGCCCUUAGGUUCGGAAUAACUCCCCGAAAGGGGUGCUAAUACCGGAUAAUGUCUUCGGACCAAAGAUUUAUCGCCCUUGGAUGGGCCCGCGUUGGAUUAGCUAGUUGGUAGGGUAAAAGCCUACCAAGGCGACGAUCCAUAGCUGGUCUGAGAGGAUGAGCAGCCACACUGAGACUGAGACACGGCCCAGACUCCUACGGGAGGCAGCAGUGGGGAAUAUUGGACAAUGGGCGAAAGCCUGAUCCAGCAAUGCCGCGUGAGUGAUGAAGGCCUUAGGGUUGUAAAGCUCUUUUACCCGGGAUGAUAAUGACAGUACCGGGAGAAUAAGCUCCGGCUAACUCCGUG